rnacentral:rRNA from 1 species
UACGGAGGGUGCAAGCGUUAUCCGGAUUUAUUGGGUUUAAAGGGUGCGUAGGCGGUUUAAUAAGUCAGUGGUGAAAUCUUGCAGCUUAACUGUAAAAUUGCCAUUGAUACUGCUAGACUUGAGUAUAGUUGAGGUGGGCGGAAUGUGUUGUGUAGCGGUGAAAUGCAUAGAUAUAACACAGAACACCAAUUGCGAAGGCAGCUCACUAAGCUAUAACUGACGCUGAGGCGCGAAAGCAUGGGUAGCAAACAGG